GAUGAACGCUGGCGGCGUGCCUAAUACAUGCAAGUCGAGCGAACGGACGAGAAGCUUGCUUCUCUGAUGUUAGCGGCGGACGGGUGAGUAACACGUGGAUAACCUACCUAUAAGACUGGGAUAACUUCGGGAAACCGGAGCUAAUACCGGAUAAUAUUUUGAACCGCAUGGUUCAAAAGUGAAAGACGGUCUUGCUGUCACUUAUAGAUGGAUCUGCGCUGCAUUAGCUAGUUGGUAAGGUAACGGCUUACCAAGGCAACGAUGCAUAGCCGACCUGAGAGGGUGAUCGGCCACACUGGAACUGAGACACGGUCCAGACUCCUACGGGAGGCAGCAGUAGGGAAUCUUCCGCAAUGGGCGAAAGCCUGACGGAGCAACGCCGCGUGAGUGAUGAAGGUCUUCGGAUCGUAAAACUCUGUUAUUAGGGAAGAACAUAUGUGUAAGUAACUGUGCACAUCUUGACGGUACCUAAUCAGAAAGCCACGGCUAACUACGUG
rnacentral:rRNA from 1 species